UACGUAGGGUGCAAGCGUUGUCCGGAAUUAUUGGGCGUAAAGAGCUCGUAGGCGGUCUGUCGCGUCGGCUGUGAAAUCCCGAGGCUCAACCUCGGGUCUGCAGUCGAUACGGGCAAACUUGAGUGUUGCAGGGGAGACUGGAAUUCCUGGUGUAGCGGUGAAAUGCGUAGAUAUCGGGAGGAACACCUGAGGCGAAGGCGGGCUACUGGGCCGAUACUGACGCUGAUGUGCGAAAGCCAGGGGAGCGAACGGG
rnacentral:rRNA from 1 species